rnacentral:lncRNA from 1 species
GAGGCCCUUGACAAAAUUCUCAAGCAGUUGCAACGCAAUUACGAUCAUCCUCAGCCUCAGGUAAUUUCUUCCCCUGCUUUGUUGUUAUUUGUUACCUAAUUAAGAAGCACAAAGUAUCUUGAAUCAUUUUUUGUAUCUGGAAUAUAUGCAACAGUUUCUAAAAUUUUGAUAUGAGCGAAGUGAUUGUAAUUUCUGUUUUCUGUCUGUCAUCGAAUGUAAGACAACUUUAUUAAGACCCUUGAACCAAGUCAUUUUAUACAAUUGAAGGACAAGUGCUGAAGAGUGGGAAUGGUGCUAGAUUGGGGAAUAAAGCAAAAGGAGAUAAAGUAUUGGCAGUUUCUUCAGCCUUGUUUUCUUUGAACCAGCACCUGAUUAACAAGACUGCAUUAAUUUGGCUUUUGAUCAGCUGAUUGAUAAAUUUUCAAUUUCUUUAGUGAUGAACGUAUAUGUAAAGGAGGCAGCAGGGUAUGACUAUGGAAAAGAGAAGAUUUUAGUGAAAGCUGAGACUUAGAUAAUUCUACAAUGUACGCGUUUUGGCUGAUUUAUAUAAUUCGUAAAAUUUUAUUUCCAUCUGUUACAAGAUCAAACUGAAGCAGAACUCAAACAAAAGUAUGCUACUUCUUGCAGAAAUCUUGCCUUUGUUCAGAUUAUGAAACCAUUUCCAUGCAGCAAAUUCAUCCAAAAGUUUGAAUAAGUUUCAUGGUUGGACCCUGUCGGCUUCUUUUUCUUCUGAGGUGCAUUUAGGUGCUAUCAAGUGAGAGCUGUAAGUAUGAUUGCACUAAGCUGCUGCUGGGAAAUUUGAGGUUUUGAUGGCUGCCCAUGUUAUUGUCAAGAAACUACUGAUGUAAAAAGCUGUGGUUCUUUUCAUCAGCUUGAACCUGAAACUGUCGCUAUGGAUAACUCAGGUUUUUGUUAUCAACUAUAUCAUCUUUUUCACUGUUUUGAAACUCUUAAGAUUAAACUUUAGUAAAGUUGUUUCAGCUAUUCAAAUGAAAAACCUCAUUGAUUUGAGACUUCCUUCAUUAUUGUUUCUGAUUACAAUGCUAACGAUCCAGAUAAAAUAAUAUUUAAUCGGCGACGGAGUCCCUUGGAAGUACAUCCUUCUUUUUCUUUUAUUAUAUAAAUUCUUCCAAUGAGCUUAGUGAAGCUGUUGUUCUAAUCAUGCCAAUGCAUAAUUUGGCCCCUAAUGUGGGUACUCUGUUACAUUGUUCUGCAAAUUCUCCAAAAGUUAAAAUCAAUAAAUUUUCUAUUAGUUAUUGUGCUUUGACCUAAAUGCUAUUCUAUAUUUUGGUGCCUCAAUUGAAGAACCUUGGCUCCUGCCAGAGCACGUGGAGAUAAUGGCAGGGAGAGUGUCUGUGUAUUUUAACCAUGAUAAAGCUAAUAUUCCUAAUAAUUUCCGCAGGUGAGACUUGUGAAGAGGGUGAGUGAGGCAACUGCUAAUAUUCAUGGGUGGGAUACAGUAACUAGAGGCUGAGAUCAGGUGGUGGAAUUUUUUGUUUGGUCGAUGAUACCAGAAUUGUCCAGAAAAGAUUUGUUGAUACUAAUUACAGGUGAUAGAAAGAGGUAUAGGUGGAGAAGAGAAAUCUGCGAGUCAAAUUAGGGAUAAUUGAUUACUGAUACUAAUUAUAUUGAAAAUACUAAUAACAAUUGCAUGACGACCCCUUCUUAAUCUUGUGUUCUCCUAUCUUUUACAUUCAGCUGGUAUGCUUAAGCUUUGCUUGUGGAAUGUUUUAACCUUUAAAUUAACUACCCUUAGAUGUUGGAUUUUCUAGAACUUCAAAAUGAUUAAUGGAGAAAGAUCCCAUUAUCGUUAUUGCUAUAAGAAAUUGAUUUAUGCAUUCAAAGAUACAUUUUAUAUUUCUGUGUCUCUCUUUAUACAUGACAUUUAAGCAUCCAUAAACUGUCAGACAGAGGAAGGGGGUUAAGUGCAAAGAUUCUGUUGACCUAGGGCUGACUGCAUAAUGUCACUUGUUCGCAAUCUAUUAUUUAUUUUAUAUUUUGAAGAAUUUAAUGGGUAAUCCUAAUUGUUUGUUUUGGCAGGUAUGUGUUGUUAUCUCCUUCUAACUUACUGUCAUACCUAAAUAGCAUAGUUUCAUCUAUGUUACCAUGUGAUGUACAGAAUUUCACAUUUACCUCAGAUGAAGCUUAAUUUCCAGCAGAAUAAAGCUGUCGCGACUGGACUUAGGUUGAUGUCCAAAGAGGUAAAUUAUUGGCAUGCCUAGAUAAUUUGGCCAUUUCCUAAUUCAUAAGUCUACAUUAAUUUUGAUUUUGAGUUGACUGAUUUCUUUUCAAGGUCUGCUUCCUUAAUGGAGUGACCAAUGUUUUUCAACUAAAUUUAUCAUAUGAUGCAAGAAGCAGGGCGGGAUAUGAAAUGAGAAGCUCAUUGGUGGAAGUAUUGCCAGUAACAGAACCCAAAGAAAAUGAAACUAUUUCAAGGCAGCAGUUGGCAGUUGCAAGUGAAUGGAGGCCCUUGACAAAAUUCUCAAGCCGUUGCAAUGCAAUUACGAUCACCCUCAGCCUCAGGUAAUUUCUUGUACUGCUUUGUUUUUAUUUGUUAUCUAAUUAAGAAGCAUAAAGUACCUUGAAUCACUUUCUGUAGCUGGAAUAUGCAACAGUUUCUAAAAUUUUGAUAUGAGUGUAAUGAUGGUAAUUUCUGUUUUAUGUCUGUCAUUGAAUGUUAGACAACUUUCAUUGAGACUCUUGAACCGAGACAUUUUUGACAAAUGAAGGACAAGGGCUAAAGAGUGAGAAUGGUGCUAGAUUGGGGAAUAAAGAAAAAAGAGGUAAAUUAUUUGCAGUUUAUUCAGCAUUAUUUGCUUUGGACCAGCGCCUGAUUCACAAGUCUCCAUAAUUCGGCUUUUGACCAGUUGUUAAUAAAUUUUUAAUCUCAUUGGUGCUAAAUGUACACGUGAAGCAGGCAGAGCAGGACUGUGGAAAUGAGAAGGUUUUUAGUGAAAGCUUAAACUCAGGUAAUUCUAAAAAGUAGAUGUUUUUGCUGAUUUAUCUAAAUCAGGAAAUUUUAUUUCCAUCUGUUACAAGAUAAAACAGAAACAGAACACAAAGAAAAAUAUUCUACUUCUUGUGGCAAUCUUGCCUUCAUUCAGACUAUGAAACCAUUUCCUUUCACCAAUUUCUUCCAAAAGUUUGAAUAAGUUUCAUGGUUGGACAUAAGUUAGCUUCUUUUUCUUUUGGUGCAUUUAGGUCCUAGUGACAGCCAUAAGUAUGAUUGCAUUAUUGGGAAAUUUUAGGUUUGGAUGGCUCCCCAAGUUAUUGCCAAGAAAGUCCUCAUGUCAGAAGCUGCGGUUCUUUUCAUCAGCCUGAACCUGAACCUGUCGCUAUAGAUAACUCAGGUUUUUGUCAUCAACUAUAUCAUCUUUUUUACUGUUUUGAAACUCUUAAGAUUAAACUUCAGUAAAGUUGUUUCAGUUAUCCAUGUAAUCAG